rnacentral:rRNA from 1 species
GGCUUGAACUGACGCUGAGGCUCGAAAGCGUGGGGAGCAAACGGGAUUACAUACCCUGGGAUUCCACGCUGUAAACGAUGAAUGCUAGGAGUUACACCCUUUCCGGGGUUUAGUGCCGGAGGUAACGCAUUACCCACUCCGCCUGGGGAGUACGACCGCAAGGUUGAAACUCAAAUGAAUUGACGGAAUCACUACCGAAGUCGCAGCGGGAGGCAGCUGUAGGGAAUCUUCGGCAAUGGACGGAAGUCUGACCGAGCAACGCCGCGUGAGUGAAGAAGGUUUUCGGAUCGUAAAGCUCUGUUGUAAGAGAAGAACGAGUGUGAGAGUGGAAAGUUCACACUGUGACGGUAUCUUACCAGAAAGGGACGGCUAACUACGUGCCAGCAGCCGCGGUAAUACGUAGGUCCCGAGCGUUGUCCGGAUUUAUUGGGCGUAAAGCGAGCGCAGGCGGUUAGAUAAGUCUGAAGUUAAAGGCUGUGGCUUAACCAUAGUAGGCUUUGGAAACUGUUUAACUUGAGUGCAAGAGGGGAGAGUGGAAUUCC